AUUGAACGCUGGCGGCAGGCCUAACACAUGCAAGUCGAACGAGUGGCGGACGGGUGAGUAAUGUCUGGGAAACUGCCUGAUGGAGGGGGAUAACUACUGGAAACGGUAGCUAAUACCGCCUACCAUCGGAUGUGCCCAGAUGGGAUUAGCUAGUAGGUGGGGUCAAGGCUAACCUAGCCGACGAUCCCUAGCUGGUCUGAGCGGAUGACCAGCCACACUGGAACUGGGCCACGGUCCAGACUCCUGCGGGAGGCAGCAGUGGGGAAUAUUGCGCAAUGGGCGCAUGCCUGAGACAGCCCUGCCGCGUGUAUGAAGAAGGCCUUCGGGUUGUAAAGUACUUUCAGCGGGGAGGCGUUACCAACAGAAUAAGCACCGGCUAACUUCGUGCCAGCCGCCGCGGUAAUAC
rnacentral:rRNA from 1 species